AUUGAACGCUGGCGGCAGGCCUAACACAUGCAAGUCGAGCGAGCGGCGGACGGGUGAGUAAUGUAUGGGGACUGCCCGAUAGAGGGGGAUAACUACUGGAAACGGUGGCUAAUACAGCAUACUGUCGGAUAACCCAUAUGGGAUUAGGUAGUAGGUAAGGUAAUGGCUUACCUAGGAGACGAUCCCUAGCUGGUCUGAGAGGAUGAUCAGCCACACUGGGACUGAGAACGGGCCCAGAUUCCUACGGAGGCAGCAGUGGGGAAUAUUGCACAAUGGGCGCAAGCCUGAUGCAGCCAUGCCGCGUGUAGGAAGAAGGCCCUAGGGUUGUAAAGUACUUUCAGUCGGGAGGCGUUACCGACAGAAGAAGCACCGGCUAACUCCGUGCCAGCCGCCGCGGUAAUAC
rnacentral:rRNA from 1 species